rnacentral:rRNA from 1 species
AUUGAACGCUGGCGGCAGGCCUAACACAUGCAAGUCGAGCGGAUGAAGGGAGCUUGCUCCUGGAUUCAGCGGCGGACGGGUGAGUAAUGCCUAGGAAUCUGCCUGGUAGUGGGGGAUAACGUCCGGAAACGGGCGCUAAUACCGCAUACGUCCUGAGGGAGAAAGUGGGGGAUCUUCGGACCUCACGCUAUCAGAUGAGCCUAGGUCGGAUUAGCUAGUUGGUGGGGUAAAGGCCUGUCAAGGCGACGAUCCGUAACUGGUCUGAGAGGAUGAUCAGUCACACUGGAACUGAGACACGGUCCAGACUCCUACGGGAGGCAGCAGUGGGGAAUAUUGGACAAUGGGCGAAAGCCUGAUCCAGCCAUGCCGCGUGUGUGAAGAAGGUCUUCGGAUUGUAAAGCACUUUAAGUUGGGAGGAAGGGCAGUAAGUUAAUACCUUGCUGUUUUGACGUUACCAACAGAAUAAGCACCGGCUAACUUCGUG